rnacentral:pre_miRNA from 11 species
UUCUAAUAAAUUAAAAGUGAAAGACCCACAGAGUGGGGAGACCCUCACUCAAGUCUCAGGAUAAGCCGAUGCCCCAAUAAUUCAAGAGAGACC